ACGGCUCAGUAACACGUGAUCAACUUACCCUAUAGAGGAAAAUAACCUCGGGAAACUGAGGAUAAUGUUCCAUAGUUGAAUCGGCUUGGAAAAGUUUUUCAAUAAAAGGGAUAAGGAAAAUGGUUCUUAUCUGCUAUAGGAUAGGAUCGUGCUCGAUUAUGGUUGUUGGUGAGGUAAAGGCUCACCAAGCCGAUAAUCGAUAGGGGCCGUGAGAGCGGGAGCCCCGAGAUGGGUACUGAGACAACGACCCAGGCCUUACGAGGCGCAGCAGGCGCGAAACCUCCGCAAUACACGAAAGUGUGACGGGGUUACCCAAAGUGUUCUAUUUAGAACUGUGGUAGGUGAGUAAUGUCCCCUACUAGAAAGGAGAGGGCAAGGCUGGUGCCAGCCGCCGCGGUAAAACCAGCUCUUCAAGUGGUCGGGAUAAUUAUUGGGCUUAAAGUGUCCGUAGCCGGUUUAGUAAGUUCCUGGUAAAAUCGGGUAGCUUAACUAUCUAUAUGCUAGGAAUACUGCUAUACUAGAGGGCGGGAGAGGUCUGAGGUACUACAGGGGUAGGGGUGAAAUCUUAUAAUCCUUGUAGGACCACCAGUGGCGAAGGCGUCAGACUGGAACGCGCCUGACGGUGAGGGACGAAAGCCAGGGGAGCGAACCGGAUUAGAUACCCGGGUAGUCCUGGCCGUAAACGAUGCAUACUAGGUGAUGGCACGGCCAUGAGCCGUGUCAGUGCCGUAGGGAAACCGUUAAGUGUGCCGCCUGGGAAGUACGGUCGCAAGGCUAAAACUUAAAGGAAUUGGCGGGGGAGCACCACAAGGGGUGAAGCCUGCGGUUCAAUUGGACUCAACGCCGGG
rnacentral:rRNA from 1 species